rnacentral:rRNA from 1 species
GACGAACCGAGCGAACGUUGUUCGGAAUUACUGGGCGUAAAGGGCGCGUAGGCGGCCUUCUAAGUCGAACGUGAAAUCCCCGGGCUCAACCCGGGAACUGCGUCCGAUACUGGGAGGCUUGAAUCCGGGAGAGGGAUGUGGAAUUCCAGGUGUAGCGGUGAAAUGCGUAGAUAUCUGGAGGAACACCGGUGGCGAAGGCGGCAUCCUGGACCGGUAUUGACGCUGAGGCGCGAAAGCCAGGGGAGCAAACGGG